ACCGUUUUUUCGAUGUUUCAUUUUGUGAUUUUUUCAUAUUUAAACACUGGUGAAGUUUUCAAGAAUCAUAACUUUGCGUUUCCUUCAGCAACUUGAUACUGGUAAACCACUUUUCUAUGAAAUUACUGUUAAAAAAACUCGCAUGAUACGAAAAAAAGCCCUAUAGAAGGUAACGUUGUGCCUUACGAAGUUCAGUUUUCAACAAGUUACAGUUACAGUUUUCUUAAUUCCUACAUCAAUUAUUUAUAGAACAGAUAUAUCAUUUUAU
rnacentral:lncRNA from 1 species